GUGAAUAUACCGGUUCUCGUUAGAUCACCGAAGUUAAACAUCAUUGGGCGCGGUCAGUACUUGGGUGGGUGACCACCUGGAACACUGCGUGCCGUU
rnacentral:rRNA from 1 species